rnacentral:rRNA from 1 species
GAGCUUGCUCCCUGAUGUUAGCGGCGGACGGGUGAGUAACACGUGGGUAACCUGCCUGUAAGACUGGGAUAACUCCGGGAAACCGGGGCUAAUACCGGAUGCUUGUUUGAACCGCAUGGUUCAAACAUAAAAGGUGGCUUCGGCUACCACUUACAGAUGGACCCGCGGCGCAUUAGCUAGUUGGUGAGGUAAUGGCUCACCAAGGCAACGAUGCGUAGCCGACCUGAGAGGGUGAUCGGCCACACUGGGACUGAGACACGGCCCAGACUCCUACGGGAGGCAGCAGUAGGGAAUCUUCCGCAAUGGACGAAAGUCUGACGGAGCAACGCCGCGUGAGUGAUGAAGGUUUUCGGAUCGUAAAGCUCUGUUGUUAGGGAAGAACAAGUACCGUUCGAAUAGGGCGGUACCUUGACGGUACCUAACCAGAAAGCCACGGCUAACUACGUGCCAGCAGCCGCGGUAAUACGUAGGUGGCAAGCGUUGUCCGGAAUUAUUGGGCGUAAAGGGCUCGCAGGCGGUUCCUUAAGUCUGAUGUGAAAGCCCCCGGCUCAACCGGGGAGGGUCAUUGGAAACUGGGGAACUUGAGUGCAGAAGAGGAGAGUGGAAUUCCACGUGUAGCGGUGAAAUGCGUAGAGAUGUGGAGGAACACCAGUGGCGAAGGCGACUCUCUGGUCUUAACCU